UAACCUCCAACGUCGUGAACUUAUCUCUGACCCACAAUGCCCUGACCUCUGACCCCAAUGACCUGACCUCUGACCCGAUGACCUGACCUCUGACCUCAAUGACCUGACCCGAUGACCCCCAAUGACCUGACCUCUGACCUCGAUGACCUCUGCCCGGACAGGUCUGUGUCGCGUCACGAGCUGUUCCCAAUCCGCGCCACCCUGCUCUCGAUGGAGCAUUGUAUCGCGCCCUUCCUGGAUGGAUGUGAUACGAACGGAGACCGUGACAUCUCGCUCUCCGAGUGGGCCAAGUGCCUCCAGGUUACUGAUGGUGAGAUCAAGGAGCGUUGUGAGAACAUCAAACAGGAGAGCGACUAGCUCCGUCUGGAGCCAACGGUGAGCUACAUCCGACAGGCUCCUGUGAGCUACUCCUGAGCCAACGUUAAACACAGGAGCUCACCAGGCCACUGAUGAGCUCUGAGCUAGCAGGGAGCUGUCGGCGAAUCACCAGUGAGCUAAUACCGAGCUUCUAAUGCGGUUUGGGUACCAGUCGGGACUCAAACCAGGGAAACAUUGGUGCUAUCUUUGAGCUUACAUGUCUUACGUGGUAGAUUGCCUUUUUAGAAUGUCUCGCUGCGUCCAGUUAGCAAAUCGACUGACUCCUACUCACUGUGAUUUGAUAAAAAAAUGAAAUGUGUGUGCAUUACCGGAACUUGUAACUCGUAGGACAUUUGAACUGAGACGCCAUCGAUACUUGAUGCAAUUUUGAAGUAAGUUACAACCACUGCCAUGACUGGAUCUUGUCCGAGAAUAAAAAACUGCGCUGCAUU